UACGGGGGGAGCAAGCGUUGUUCGGAUUUACUGGGCGUAAAGGGCGCGUAGGCGGCCACGACAAGUCAGUUGUGAAAUCUCUGGGCUUAACUCAGAACGGUCAACUGAUACUGUCGGGCUAGAGUCCGGAAGAGGCGAGUGGAAUUCCCGGUGUAGCGGUGAAAUGCGCAGAUAUCGGGAGGAACACCAAUGGCGAAGGCAGCUCGCUGGGACGGUACUGACGCUGAGGCGCGAAAGCGUGGGGAGCAAACAGG
rnacentral:rRNA from 1 species